rnacentral:rRNA from 1 species
GUCCUUUUUGUAUUACGGUCUGUAGGAAGUUAGAAUGUUUUAUUUUUUCUCGAAUUUAAAAGAUCUAUAUUAUUUAUGGGAUUAAAAUUAAUUUAAGAUUUUUUUUAUGUCUAUUGGGGUAAAAAUGAAUUUUUUAAUAUCUAAUAAAAUAGUUUAGGAGUGAUAUUUUUUCGUUUUUAAUUAACUAGUGAUUAGUUUUAUGAAGUAUUAGCUUUAUAACUAUUAAAUAAAUUUAUUUAGGUUUAAUUUUUUGUUCUUUAUGUAUAAAAAUAUUUAGCAGUAAUAAUUUGAUUGUUAAAAAUGAAGGUAAUUUUCUAAAAUUAUUAAAACUUUUUAUAAAAAUUUUUCUUUUUUGUGAAAUUAUAGAAUUAGUAUAAAAUUAAAUUUUUAGAACUCAAGAGUCAUACGACUGUUUAUUAAAAACAUUUUCUUUUUUUUUAAAAGAUAAUCCCUGCUCCAUGAAUGAGAAAUUUGUUUAAAUAGCUGCAGUAUCUUGACUGUACUAAGGUAGCAUAAUUACUUGUCUGAUAAUUACAGAAUUGUUUGAAUGGGGAAAUAAGAUAUGGCCAUUUGUUUAUUUGUUUUAAAAUUUUAAGUUUUUAAUUUGCAAGAGAAGUCAAGAUGCUUCUAUUAGUAUUAAUUUUAAUUAAGACGAAAAGACCCUAAAGAAUUUUUAUUUAAUUCUUUUAAGUUAAUUUUUUAAAAUAUUUUAGAGUUAAAUUUUUGAUGGGGUAUUAGAUUUAUUAAUUAUAAUUUAAAUAAUUAAAGUUUGAAUAAUAAAAUAGUUAUAAAAAUUUUGAAAAAAAAUUUCCUUAGGGAUAACAGGAUAAUAAUAUUUGGGAGUUCUUAUCGGAAAUAUUGAUUAUUACCUCGAUGUUGAAUCAUAAUAAAAAUUAGGUGUAGAGGCUUUUAUUUUUAGUCUGUUCGACUAUUAAAAAUAUUCGUGAUUUGAGUUUAGACCGAUGUAAAUCAGGUUGGUUUUUAUCUAAUGGAAUAAAGGUUGUACGUAAGGACUCUUUUUAUAGGUUUUAA